rnacentral:rRNA from 1 species
AGAGUUUGAUCCUGGCUCAGGAUGAACGCUAGCGGCAGGCUUAACACAUGCAAGUCGAGGGGUAGAGGAAGCUUGCUUCCUUGAGACCGGCGCACGGGUGCGUAACGCGUAUGCAACCUACCUUUUACAGAGGGAUAGCCCAGAGAAAUUUGGAUUAAUACCUCAUGGUAUAUAUCAUUCGCAUGUUUGAUAUAUUAAAGUUCCAACGGUAAAAGAUGGGCAUGCGUCCUAUUAGCUAGAUGGUAAGGUAACGGCUUACCAUGGCAACGAUAGGUAGGGGUCCUGAGAGGGAGAUCCCCCACACUGGUACUGAGACACGGACCAGACUCCUACGGGAGGCAGCAGUGAGGAAUAUUGGACAAUGGGCGCAAGCCUGAUCCAGCCAUGCCGCGUGCAGGAAGAAGCAUCUAUGGUGUGUAAACUGCUUUUGUACGGGAAGAAACACUCCUUCGUGAAGGAGCUUGACGGUACCGUAAGAAUAAGGAUCGGCUAACUCCGUGCCAGCAGCCGCGGUAAU